UAGGGAAUCUUCGGCAAUGGACGGAAGUCUGACCGAGCAACGCCGCGUGAGUGAAGAAGGUUUUCGGAUCGUAAAGCUCUGUUGUUAGAGAAGAACGUUGGUAGGAGUGGAAAAUCUACCAAGUGACGGUAACUAACCAGAAAGGGACGGCUAACUACGUGCCAGCAGCCGCGGUAAUACGUAGGUCCCGAGCGUUGUCCGGAUUUAUUGGGCGUAAAGCGAGCGCAGGCGGUUCUUUAAGUCUGAAGUUAAAGGCAGUGGCUUAACCAUUGCACGCUUUGGAAACUGGAGGACUUGAGUGCAGAAGGGGAGAGUGGAAUUCCAUGUGUAGCGGUGAAAUGCGUAGAUAUAUGGAGGAACACCGGUGGCGAAAGCGGCUCUCUGGUCUGUAACUGACGCUGAGGCUCGAAAGCGUGGGGAGCAAACAGG
rnacentral:rRNA from 1 species